rnacentral:rRNA from 1 species
UACGUAGGGCGCAAGCGUUGUCCGGAUUCACUGGGUGUAAAGGGUGCGCAGGCGGACUGGCAAGUCAGGGGUGAAAUCUCACAGCUCAACUGUGAAACUGCCUUUGAUACUGCUGGUCUUGAGUCAGGGAGAGGUUGAUGGAAUUCCAGGUGUAGCGGUGAAAUGCGUAGAUAUCGGGAGGAACACCAGUGGCGAAGGCGACUUCCUGGCCUGUUCUUGACGCUGAGGCGCGAAAGCUAGGGUAGCAAACGGG